CCCAGUUACCAGUUUUACCCUAGGCGGCUCCUUCCCGGUUACCGACUUUAGGUACACCCGGCUUCCAUGGCUGGGGGGGCGGAGAGUGCAAGGUCCGGGAACGUAUUCACCGUAUCAUUGCUGAUAGGCGAUUACUAGCGAUUCCAGCUUCAAGAAGUCGAGUUGCAGACUGCAAUCUGAGCUGAGAGGCGUUUUUUGGGAUUGGCUCCUUAUCGGUUUUUCGCAGCCCAUUGUACGGCCCAUUGCGCCCUUUUUGUACCCCGGGGGGGGGGGGCCCGCCAAAACUUGACCUCCUCCCCUCCUUCCUCACGUCUUACGACGGCAGUUUCACUAAAGUUCCCAGCGUUACCUGAUGGCAACUACUGAUGGCGGUUGCGCUCGUUGCGGGACUUAACCCCAACACCUCAGGGACAAAAGAUGACGACAGCCGUGCCGCACCUUACUGGCGGUGUAUUGCUACAAAGAGAGCUUUCACCCUCGAAUCCCCCAGCAUUCGAGCCCAAGAAAAAUUCCACGCGUAUCAUCUAAUUAACCCCAUGCUCCACCGCUUUGUGCGGACCCCCGCCAAAUUCCGUUCUAACUUCAACCGUUGCGGCAAAAAAAUCAACGUGGACAAACUUCAUGCUAUCCCCUCAAACCCCC
rnacentral:rRNA from 1 species